GUGCUCGUUUGGCAGCACCUAUACUAAAACUGUGAAUGAUACAGAGAAAAUUAGCAUGGCCCCUGAACAAGAAUAGCACACAAAUUCAUGAAGCAUUUCAUAUUUUU
ensembl:snRNA U6 U6 spliceosomal RNA